AGAGAGUAGAGAGAAACACUAGAGAGAAAGAGAGGGUGUGUAUUGUUAAGCUUGUUGUAAGUUUAUUUUGUGUUUUGUAAGCUUGUGUUCUUGAAAUAAAACCUUGUGUUUUAUCCCCUCUGAGUGUUUCAAAGCCACCACUAGUGGUUCCUCCCACCAACAUAUAUUGUGUGUGGCUUAGACUAAAAGCAUGCUAUUAUCUGAGGGUCCAAAUAUGCCAGGGAAAUAUGAUGACAGCCAUGAUCUUGGGAUUUCAAGUCUAUGGAGGGUAGGAAGCAUGCAUGAAAGUAUCUUCCUGCAGCAUUAUUGGAUGGCUUUAUUGUGGAUUUUUUUGUUGCUUUCAUUUUCCUUGGGUGCUUGGUGUUCCACAGGGGCCCUUGAUCGCCUUUGCUCAGACAUCUUUUAAGCUUCAGGCUAUUCUGCAUUCUGUACCUUCGUAAACAUUGCCCUGGGCCUCUUUCAUCCUGAAGGUCCUGCUCAUUUUCUUACUCUGCUAUGAAUGUUGAGUUUGGAGGAUGUUUGAGUUUUUUAAUUUACUUUCCAUUCAUCUAUCUUUUUGGUGCUUUUCUCUCUUUCCCAUUGCUUCUGCAAUGUUAUUGCUGUUUUAUUGAAGAUGCUUCUGCAAUCAUUGAAGAUGCUUCUUUUGGCAUGGGGGAACCACGGUCAAUAACUUUUGUUUUUUGCAGGGAGAGGCUGUGCUGUCCUUGGGAGGUUGAGAAUGAGAGGGUUGAUUUUUUAUUCUUUCUAUUCUAUGAUGUGCAAAGGUCAGCAGUGCUGUGGGAAUAGAAAAUAAAUGGUGUUGUUGGAUAUUGAUUUUUUUUUCUCCCAAAAUCAUUUGUAUUUUCAGCCCUUGCUUGCUGCGACUACCAUGUUUGAUUUGUUAAUUAAUUCUCAUUGCUUAGUGUCACAUAAUUAUUCUCCUGCAAAAGCAAGAAUCAAAAUUCUCCAUUCA